rnacentral:rRNA from 1 species
UACGGGGGGGGCAAGCGUUGUUCGGAAUUACUGGGCGGAAAGGGCUCGUAGGCGGCCAACUAAGUCAGACGUGAAAUCCCUCGGCUUAACCGGGAACUGCAUCUGAUACUGGAUGGCUUGAGUUCGGGAGAGGGAUGCGGAAUUCCAGGUGUAGCGGUGAAAUGCGUAGAUAUCUGGAGGAACACCGGUGGCGAAGGCGGCAUCCUGGACCGACACUGACGCUGAGGAGCGAAAGCCAGGGGAGCAAACGGG